ACUGACCCCUUACUUUCUCUCCCUGGGUUGUGAGUAUGUUGUGUGUGUAUGUGGAGGGGGAAUGUGUAUGAAAGGAAUCCUGGGCUUUCUGCACUUGGAUGUCAUCUGGUUGCAGAGGCAUCUUCUGAGCUGUCUAUCUUCCACCAGGUUCUUGAUCAGACACUGAUGCAGAUUUUCACGGGUAUAUUCUUUUCUUUGGAAUCGGGAUCAUUCCACUACUGCUGUGCAACUUUUAGACCCAUGUUGUGAAUGCUUUCUGUUUCUCUCUUGCAAUAAACAGGAACGGCUGGGGGAUUGCCUGAGGCUCCAUCUGCUUAGAUUUGCAGUUCUCAGCCCCCCUUGAACAGAAAGACCACCUGAGGAGCUUUAAAGCUACAAGUACCUGGGAAAGGGAUCUCACAGUGCAGUCCAGAAGCAGCAAUAUUCAGCCUUACCUGAUGACUGAUUAGAAACUGAAAUUCUAGGUAGAUUUAUUCCUGGUGUCCAACUCUUAUAACCCCAUGGACUGUAGCCAUCGGGCUUCUCUGUCCAUGGAAUUCUCUAGGCAAGAAUACUGGAGUGUGUUGGCAUUUACUUCUCCAGGGGAUCUUCCCAACUCAGGAAAUGAACCUGUGUCUCCUGUAUUGCAGGCAGAUUCUACCAACUGAGCCAACACGGAAGCCCACAGAUUUAUUCCUAGG
ensembl:lncRNA